GGGUCAGUAGGUUGGUCGUGCCACCGGUACGUACUGGUCUCACUGAUUCCUCCUUCCUGAAGAACCUGAAUGCCAUUAAUUUGGUGUUGCGGGGAAACAGGACUGUUACUUUGAAAAAAUUAGAGUGUUUAAAGCAAGCUAACGCUUGAAUACAUUAGCAUGGAAUAAUGAAAUAGGACGAUCGAUCCUAUUUUGUUGGUUUCUAGGAUUGACGUA
rnacentral:rRNA from 1 species